rnacentral:sRNA from 1 species
CACAUCUCCACAAUCCGCACAUCCACGGCACAAGGGGGUUCUGGUUUCUUAUUUGUUUUUUGCUUCUUCUUUUCUUCUUUUCUUCUUCCUCGAGCUAGGGAGCUGUGGACAGUAUCUCCCCUGCCGAGGCACGUGCGCAACCACUCACAAAGCAUAACCUUGUUGGUUCCGUUCCCCAGAUGCGGGCUGUCCAUGGUCCAUGUAUGUCCAUGUACAUUCUGUACAUACUGUACAUACUACUAUACUCUAUCCUCGUCCUCUCAAAGGACCCUGAGAUCGGGCAAGGGUUCGCUGCCUCCACUUCCCUUCUCUUCCCUGAGAUCGGAGAGAAGCUUCUCUGGUGGUGGCUCGCUGAACACACCUACUCCCUACGACUCGGUCUGGGUGGGGACCCACGCGUCCGUGCGGACCUUGAUGUUGUUGUUGUUGUUGUUGUUGCUAUUGUUGUUGUUGCUAUCCAUGGCAGAGAUACACCCUGCACUGGUGUUGUUUAUUUGUUGUCUCUGUGUGUGUGUUUACAUCGCCCGCAGUAUCCGUCACAACAGAUAUAUCAAUAUAUAUUUACAUCCA